AAAAAGAAAGGUUACUUUGAUAGGAUAUAUUAUCAACACUUUUAACUCUAAAUCCUGAUUUUGAAAAAGGAUAAAAAUAAAGUUAUACUCUAGGAUUAACUAAUCUAGACUUAGGGUUUAGAAUUAAGGGGUGUAGUUUUGAGGAUAUGGAAUCAAAUUUUGAAAAAUUAAAAAUAAAUACUAAAAUGUUCAGAAUUAAAAAAAAAGAUUAUUUGGUCAUUUUUCUCUUUAAAUGUUAUUUUGUGACAAACUUAAAAAGACUAUUUGAGAGAACGGCUUUAACAAAAAGAAAAGAAACAUAACUGAAAUAAUAGAUCUAAAGAAACUGAGCAGAAAGAUAAUUUUUUAGCUAUACAGUGGAAUUUCUCAAAAAAAGAACAAAGAUAAAAAGAAAAGAAGAAGAAAAAUAU
rnacentral:lncRNA from 1 species